rfam:Otolemur garnettii contig114492, whole genome shotgun sequence.
AAGACUGUACUUUCAGGGAUCAUUUCUAUAGCUCAUUACUAGAGAAGUUUCUCUGAAUGUGUUGCAUUGAUUUGAGGAAGUGGGAAGAUU